rnacentral:rRNA from 1 species
UACGUAGGGACCAAGCGUUGUUCGGAUUUACUGGGCGUAAAGGGCGCGUAGGCGGCGUGGUAAGUCACUUGUGAGAUCUCUGAGCUUAACUCAGAACGGCCAAGUGAUACUGCUGUGCUAGAGUGCAGAAGGGGCAAUCGGAAUUCUUGGUGUAGCGGUGAAAUGCGUAGAUAUCAAGAGGAACACCUGAGGUGAAGACGGGUUGCUGGGCUGACACUGACGCUGAGGCGCGAAAGCUAGGGGAGCGAACGGG